GGGAUCUUCGGACCUUUCGGUUAAGGGAGAGUCUAUGUGAUAUCAGCUAGUUGGUGGGGUAAAGGCCUACCAAGGCUAUGACGUCUAGGCGGAUUGAGAGAUUGGCCGCCAACACUGGGACUGAGACACUGCCCAGACUCCUACGGGAGGCUGCAGUCGAGAAUCUUUCGCAAUGGACGGAAGUCUGACGAAGCGACGCCGCGUGUGUGAUGAAGGCUCUAGGGUUGUAAAGCACUUUCGCUUGGGAAUAAGAGAAGACGGUUAAUACCCGUUGGAUUUGAGCGUACCAGGUAAAGAAGCACCGGCUAACUCCGUGCCAGCAGCUGCGGUAAUACGGAGGGUGCUAGCGUUAAUCGGAUUUAUUGGGCGUAAAGGGCGUGUAGGCGGAAAGGUAAGUUAGUUGUCAAAUCUCGGGGCUCAACCCCGAAUCGGCAUCUAAAACUAUUUUUCUAGAGGGUAGAUGGAGAAAAGGGAAUUUCACGUGUAGCGGUGAAAUGCGUAGAUAUGUGGAAGAACACCAGUGGCGAAGGCGCUUUUCUAAUUUAUACCUGACGCUAAGGCGCGAAAGCAAGGGGAGCAAACAGGAUUAGAUACCCUGGUAGUCCUUGCCGUAAACGAUGCAUACUUGAUGUGGAUGGUCUCAACCCCAUCCGUGUCGGAGCUAACGCGUUAAGUAUGCCGCCUGAGGAGUACACUC
rnacentral:rRNA from 1 species